rnacentral:sRNA from 1 species
UCCCAUUUCUUGGCCUGCACGGUUUGUGCGUC